rnacentral:misc_RNA from 1 species
GCUGUGUAUACUCAGAACAAUGCGGGAUGUUGAAGGAUACAAGGUCCUUGCAUCCGCAGAUCUAUCCGAUCUGCGAAAUAACUUGAAAAGAUUUAUUCGCAAAUAUAACUUUAAAUUUAUCUUAUGUUUGAUAUUUAUUGGAGCUUCAGUAUACGUGCUGGCAAACUAUGAUGUGAAAUUCUCGGCUUCUGGUAUGGACAUGGGAUGUUUGGAUUCUGAGCUGAGCAGGAUUCACCAGAAUCGUGCCAGACAAUUGCAGAUAUUUUCCUUGAACUCAAGCUUGAUUCAUUCGACUGAAAUAGGCCAUGUAAAUCCUAAAUGUGAUUUGCCGUGGUGGGAUGGUGCUCUCGACAACUGUUGGGCAAUUCAAGAACAGUUUAUUGCUCAGAAAAACAAAUCACGAAGCUAUUGCGGCAAGAGGGCGGACUUUGCUGGUCCCAAUCAAAAAGUUCUUUCCUACUGCGUAUAUGGAAAUUAUUCAAAGUACGCGUCUGGAUUUCCCAGAAUUUUAGACGCCAUAAGGAAAUGGUACCCGGGGUGGCUGGUUCGGCUGUACACUGAACCUUCCAUGUACGUCAAAGAACUCAGACCUCUCAUGCUGCAGCACCCAUACUUGUAUUUGUGCGACGUGAGUAACUUACCAGGCGACAUCCCUGACGUCCGCGUGCCAGAUUCCAUGCUGUGGAGAGUAGCAGUCUUGGGUGACGAGACGGUCGACGUGUUCCUGGUUCGAGAUAUAGACGCUGAGAUGUUGUAUCGUGAAGUGGCAGCCGUUCAUGAGUUCUUGGAAUCAGGUAAGAUGCUGCACAUAAUGCGCGAUCAUCCAUGGCAUGGCGUGUCACUUCUGGGGGGAACUUACGGCGUGAACCAGGCAGCCUGCAACCGCUCACUCCUAAAUCUCAUCCGCCGCCAAGUUUUUGACCAACGUCAAAAAAUCAACGAUCAGUCCGUGCUGCAACUAUAGCUGCCAACACUUCCCCUCAACUGUGCCCUUCCCAACACAGAGAAACGCCAGCCAGUUUGUCGGCAACAGGAGGUACAGAAGUCAAUUCUCGGAUGAUGUGGUAAAGGCUGAGUGUCCCGUUAAAUGCAGGCCUCCCACCCAUCAGGACUGGAAAUUUUGCUGAAGCGUUGUCCUUGCAUAAUUCACAACACAAACUUACUUCGUUAAAGGUUAAGAAUUUAUUGAGUAUAUAUCCGGAGUUAUUUCAAUUUUGAUGUUACUUUGAUACGCUCGGUAUGUAUAAUUGUUCAUCAGUCAGGUAACAAGUUUGAUGAAGUCAUGUUUAGGAGCAAAUCUCAUGAGCUGCUUCAAUUUCAACUUGAUUACGUAUUGCAUAUUUUCGCACCGGCAAUGAUUUCCUCACUUUUAUUUUAUGGAGUUUUCCUAUUGGUACUGGUACUCUCGAUAAUUAUUAUUUUUCAUUGAAGGCAAAUUAUUGCUAGAAUGCCAAUGAAUGUAUGGAUUAGGUCAGCAGGUAACAGGGAUCAACAUCCGAGACGUUUGCAGCGCUGUAGCAAAGUAAUUGAAUUGAGUUAUACAAGUAUAUGAUAAUCAUGUACGAAAGGCGUAUAUUGAAUUGCCAAUACGAUGGAUACAAAAAUUGUAUCUGCAGGAAACAGAAAUCGUCAUUUCGCAAAUGUCGUGCACUGAUCCAAAAUGUAUAAGCAACACUAUACGACUUGUGCUGGAACGAGAUAAACAUUUUGACAUGACCAAGCUUUUCUUUGAAUGGUGGUAACAAACUAAGUUUCCAGAAAAUUUAUAUCAACUAUGAUGAACUGUUAGUCAUCAAUUAUUACGAUGGAAACAUCUGAAUUACCGUUUAUUUCUCUGAAAUAUGUAUCCUGAUUUUACUCAAAUAUCUGAAAAUUGUGAACUGAUCUCUCAAAGGUACAUUGCUGCCUUGAAUUCUGAUCAUCCCCAGCAAGGUUUGUGUGAUAAUGCUUAAAUUUAAUUAUUAUGUUUUUUAGUUAAUUUCCAUCAUCACGUGCGAUGUAUGUAUUAUUUAUAUUUCCUAGUACGUCAAGCUAGCAAAGUUUCUCACAGCCGAGCGAGAAUGUGUAAUAUAACCUUCUUUAAUUUUCUCUGUCUCAUCAUGCAUAACUAAGUAUUGUUUCGAACGUUUUCGUGUACCCUGUCAGCCGAAUUAAAUUCCUUUGUUAUCUUUUCAAACGUGAUUCCAACUGAACAAAAUAUAAACAAAAUUCUCA